rnacentral:misc_RNA from 1 species
GAUGAAGAACGUAGCGAAAUGCGAUAAGUAAUGUGAAUUGCAGAAUUCAGUGAAUCAUCGAAUCUUUGAACGCAUCUUGCGCUCCUUGGUAUUCCUUGGAGCAUGCCUGUUUGAGUAUCAUGAGCAAAUCUCAAAGUCAAUUCCUUUUGUUAAUUCAAUUUGGUUUUGCUUUGGACUUGGAGGUCUUGCAGAUUUCACAGUCUGCUCCUCUUAAAUGCAUUAGCUGGAUCUCAGUAAUUAUGCUUGGUUCCACUCGGCGUGAUAAGUAUCACUCGCUGAGGACACUGUUAAAAAGGUGGCCAGGAAAAUACUGAUUGAACCGCUUCUAACGGUCUAUUAAGUUAGACAAUUACCCUUAAAUUUGAUCUCAAAUCAGGUAGGACUACCCGCUGAACUUAAGCAUAUCAAUAAGCGGAGGA